rnacentral:rRNA from 1 species
AUUGAACGCUGGCGGCAGGCCUAACACAUGCAAGUCGAACGGUAACAGGAAACAGCUUGCUGUUUCGCUGACGAGUGGCGGACGGGUGAGUAAUGUCUGGGAAACUGCCUGAUGGGGGGGGAUAACUACUGGAAACGGUAGCUAAUACCGCAUAACGUCGCAAGACCAAAGAGGGGGACCUUCGGGCCUCUUGCCAUCGGAUGUGCCCAGAUGGGAUUAGCUAGUAGGUGGGGUAACGGCUCACCUAGGCGACGAUCCCUAGCUGGUCUGAGAGGAUGACCAGCCACACUGGAACUGAGACACGGUCCAGACUCCUACGGGAGGCAGCAGUGGGGAAUAUUGCACAAUGGGCGCAAGCCUGAUGCAGCCAUGCCGCGUGUAUGAAGAAGGCCUUCGGGUUGUAAAGUACUUUCAGCGGGGAGGAAGGGAGUAAAGUUAAUACCUUUGCUCAUUGACGUUACCCGCAGAAGAAGCACCGGCUAACUCCGUG